GACGAACGCUGGCGGCGUGCUUAACACAUGCAAGUCGAACGAAGUGGCGAACGGGUGAGUAACGCGUAAUCAACCUGCCCUUCAGAGGGGGACAACAGUUGGAAACGACUGCUAAUACCGCAUACUGAAGGAGGGGAUUGCGGCUGAUUAGCGCGUUGGGGGGGUAACGGCCCACCAAGGCGAUGAUCAGUAGCCGGGUGGAGAGGAUGAACAGCCACAUUGGGAAUGAGACACGGCCCAGACUCCUAAGGUAGGCAGCAGUGGGGAAUCUUCCGAAAUGGACGAAAGUCUGACGGAGCAACGCCGCGUGAGUGAGUACGGCCUUCGGGUUGUAAAGCUCUGUUAAUCGGGACGCGGUACCGGAAUAGAAAGCCACGGCUAACUACGUGCCAGCAGCCGCGGUAAUAC
rnacentral:rRNA from 1 species